GACGAACGCUGGCGGCGUGCUUAACACAUGCAAGUCGAACGGAAAGGCCCUGCUUUUGUGGGGUGCUCGAGUGGCGAACGGGUGAGUAACACGUGAGUAACCUGCCCUUGACUUUGGGAUAACUUCAGGAAACUGGGGCUAAUACCGGAUAGGAUCUCCUGCUGCAUGGUGGGGGUUGGAAAGUUUCGGCGGUUGGGGAUGGACUCGCGGCUUAUCAGCUUGUUGGUGGGGUAGUGGCUUACCAAGGCUUUGACGGGUAGCCGGCCUGAGAGGGUGACCGGCCACAUUGGGACUGAGAUACGGCCCAGACUCCUACGGGGGGCAGCAGUGGGGAAUAUUGCACAAUGGGCGGAAGCCUGAUGCAGCAACGCCGCGUGCGGGAUGACGGCCUUCGGGUUGUAAACCGCUUUCGCCUGUGACGAAGCGUGAGUGACGGUAAUGGGUAAAGAAGCACCGGCUAACUACGUG
rnacentral:rRNA from 1 species